rnacentral:lncRNA from 1 species
UGCGCAUGAAACUCUGAGCUUCGGCUUCAGCAGUGCUGUUAUCUCAAAGGAAGAGGGCAGCAUCGUGCAAAAAAUGGGGUUUGUUCUGUUUUUUUUCCCGUUCAGGGGACCGAGACUCGAGUCUUCGUAAGUGACUUUCUUCUCCUGGCAAGUAAAAUCGUGUUGUAAAGGUGCAUCUUCCUCAAAUUUUGGUGUUUCGUGUCUCCUCCGCAUCUCCUGUUUCCUGAGUCUUCCUGCAUUUCUUUACUCAACCCCUCGCAUCGCUCCUAAAUGAAUGUAUUAUUUGAAUCAGUGCUUUCAGCGCGGUUUCCCUUACAAUUCAACUGCAUUAUAUUAGACCAUUAUAAAACACUCUGUAAGAUUAAGCCAGAUAAUUACCUAUUAUGUGUCCAGAGAGGAAAGAACAGUGUUUAAAAUUAGCAUUCCUUGUUUUCUUUUCAGGGAAACUCACUGCAGAACUCACAAAGUGCGAUGCAACGAUCAGUAAGUCGUGUUUCCUCCUCUGUCAAAGCCUCGUACACGGGAGAUCCCGGUGCGCGGGGGCCCRAUGGGGCGGCUCAUGCCGCAGCUUUGAAAGCGCGGAAAACGUUGGAAUUUCUUACAUUCAGCUAAGUUUGGGUCUCGAGCAGAAAUGACGCCUCGGGUUUCGUGGGCUGUGUGCCGCAGAAAGCACGAAACCGAAGUUUAAGGGAGAAAAAGGAAAAUUCACGCAGGGAGGCCUGAGACGGGGUGAAGGUUCGGCGGGUGAUGGGGAAUUUCAGAAAUCUAGCAGGAGCUAUUAUCACUUUCUCUGUUUUAAGGGUUAUUUACCGCGGAGCUUGGUAAGUCCUUUUGCAUUUUUUUGUUGUUAAUCUGUAUGUGUUUCAUCUGCCUUGCGAAAAGCGGGGUCUUCAAGGCCAAAUUACAGAAGCUUAAAACCCCAAAGUCAUGCAAAAAUAAUUGCAAGCGGGGUAACUUAGGCUAGAAUAAAAAUUACCUUGUAGUCUGAAUUACA